rnacentral:rRNA from 1 species
CUUGUAAUUGUUGCUUCCAUGGGACCUGGAACAAGCGUCCACAUCGGCCCCACCGGCUGGUGAGCGCCCAUGGGAGGAGUCAUGAAAACUAUUCUUUGAAGUGCAGUUAGUCUGAAAAUGUUAUUAUAAACGUUAAAACUUUCAACAACGGAUCUCUUGGUUCUCGCAUCGAUGAAGAACGCAGCGAAAUGCGAUAAGUAGUGUGAAUUGCAGAAUUCAGUGAAUCAUCGAAUCUUUGAACGCACAUUGCGCCUUCUGGUAUUCCGGGAGGCAUGCCUGUUCGAGCGUCAUCAAAAACCUCAAUCUUUGAUUUUAUUGUCAUAGGUUGGUCUUGCUUUGGAGGUGUUAGCUUCCUUUGCGAAAUCCAAUGGCGAAAAGCCACGCAACCAAAGCGUAGUAAAUUUAUAUCUCGCAAUGGGAACGUGUGCGCUUCUGCCACAAACCCCCCGCCAUAACUCAAGUUUUUGACCUCGGAUCAGGUAGGGAUACCCGCUGAACUUAAGCAUAUCUAACGGGGGGGGAAAUCUUCUUUAAUAUUAUUUUGGAAA